rnacentral:antisense_RNA from 1 species
GCUCAGCAGCGCCUCCAGCACCGCGUCGUGGUUGCGCUCAGCCGCCAGCCCUGCCACCUGCAAGAAGAAGCUCCUGCCACCAAUAUGAUUCCAGACCCUAAUCUGUCCAAUCCCUGCUGACAGGCACAGGAGGCCUGACUUUGCUCUGCAGAGGUGCUGGUCAAAGGCAGGCCUGGGCCUCACCCUGGAUGGCGGCCACGGCCAACAAAUGCUCCGCUAACAGCUGUAAUGUGCCCAAGAACGGGAAAGAACGGCACAUUUUGGGAUCUCAGAGUAUAAUUGCUCAAGCGGCACCUUAUGAAGAGGAACAAAGGAAGAAUUUCAAGUGGCUUGCAAAGAUUGAUAAAAUACAGCAAAAGUAUUGUAUGUUGGAACUAAAAGAGAAGGAAUAUUUAAAAACCAGGAGUCAGAAGUAAGACCCAGAACACAAGUCUGUGUUUUCUGUUGGCCAGAAGACUCUAAGAUCCUGAUUUUCUACCCAGGCUGCACGGUAAAACCUCCUGGGCAGCUCUUAGACACCCUGAAGCCUCAGCCACAGCCUAGACCAGC